rnacentral:misc_RNA from 1 species
CACAGAAUAGUGCAAAACACGGGGGCGAAAACUAGUCAUUAAUAAUUCAAAGCUCCCAUACAGGUGUCCCCACUGACCUACUCCCUUACUCGCCUCGCUUUGACCUAAUAACGUGAUAUAACCUAAAACAAAAACAUCAUCAAAAAUACUCCAUUGACAAUCUAACAAAAUCAUCUUAACCUAAAUUUGUUUGCAUUGAAAUACAAGUUGUUUAAUAUAAAGAAAACAAUGUUAAAUUUAAUUUUAGAGUUCAAGGCGUUACACCACGCAUGCGCGUAUUAAAGCUCCACGCAUGCGCAGUGCUAACGUCAAAUCUAUUUCAGUACUGCAAAUAACACUGCAGAGCUUACACACCCGGACUUCAGUGCGAUAACAAACUAUAAAAACAAAAAAGAAACGUGUUCAAAAUAAAACAAAUAAUGCCACUGUUAAAUUCAAUGAUGUGCGACAAAGUAAUGAUAUAGUCAAAGUCUUUCAAUUACGGCAAUGCGACAGAACGGAAUCGAUGUGAAUUCGUGAUGCCAAAAACCAGUAACGAAAUAAAAUCAUGGAGCCUCUGAUAGAUAGAAACAAUUUUGCAAUUAGCGCAAUGGUGACUGUAGCCAUGCAAAUACUGUACUUCACCAUAGCAUCUCUAUUCCAGACUGACAAAGUCACAGAUUUUACUGGUGGUGCCAAUUUCAUUAUCAUAGCGUUACUCACUUUCUUCUUAGGCCAGGGGGGGAGUACUUUGAAAAGUUAUGACAGCAGACAGCUCAUGGUGACAGCUUUUGUUUGCGUCUGGGGUUUAAGGCUCUCAGGGUACCUGAUUUACAGAAUCUACCACAUCGGCAGAGACAAACAAUUCGAAGACAGAAAGAGUAAUACCCUCAGAUACGCUGUGUUCUAUACUUUCCAAGCGAUUUGGGUGUACAUUGUCAGUUUACCUGUUAUUAUCAUAAAUUCGCCGCAUCAUUCGUUCCCCAAGUCGCCGAAAACGAUGACUACAUUGGACUCUGCUGGGGCAGGGAUAUUCGUCAUAGGAUUACUCAUUGAGACUUAUGCAGAUUUGCAGAAAUUCGCGUUCAGACAAGAGCCCGCGAAUCAAGGAAAAUGGUGCAACGAUGGCCUCUGGGGGCUAUCAAGACAUCCCAAUUAUUUCGGAGAAGUUGUUCUGUGGUGGGGUAUAUUUGUUAUAUCCCUGAAUGUGAUAGAAGGAGUAGAAUGGGUGGCGAUACUCUCGCCACUGUUUACGACGGCUAUCAUACUGUUCUUAUCUGGCAUUCCGUUGCUGGAACGAUCAGCGGACGAAAAGUACAGAGAUAACCCUGAUUAUCUAUAUUAUAAGGCGUCAACGUCACCUUUGAUUCCGAUACCGCCGGCUAUUUACGUCGAAGUGCCCAAGUUCCUGAAGUGUAUACUUUGUUGUGAGUUUUCCUUUUACGAUUCGACCGGAGAUGAGUUCCCGGCUCCCACCAUCGUCACGGAGACGACCAGCAUCUCAAUGGUGCAGUCCCAGACAUAGCUAACAAAAGCCGCGCGCGACACCGGCGCGGCCAAGUCCGAAUCGGCGUGCUUCAAAGGCCAAAACUCUGCGAAACAAUUGUGAUACACAGCCGAGGAGCCACCUCAAAAGAAAUUGCCAAAUUCAUUGCCACUUAAGAAAAGUAAUACUGUAGAUAUGAACAAUUAUAAUACUUAUAUGAAUAAUUUGAGAAAAAGCAAACAAGUUGCUCUAGAUCUAUUGGAUGAUACGAAGGAUAUUUUUGAAGGUAUAUCCGAAGAAAGCCCCAGUGGUACUAAAUUUAGGAACAUGCCUAGUGACUUAGAUGUAGAAGCAGGGCCUAGUACUAGUACAGAUAAGACUAGAAGGCCAACAGAGAUUGUAAAAUAUGGUAAAAUAACUUUCAAUACAACAGCGAUACUCCAUCACUACCCGCAAAUGGCGCAAAACAAAGAAAACAGCGUAGCGCGUGAAAACUCGGUAGCCACAAAAAAGUCAGAUCUAAAUUUGCCAGAAGCCAAGGACAAUAACAACGAUGUCAUUGACAAACAAAGAAUAACAACUUCUAAGGAUAAUAGUAAUAAUAAUGAUUCGUCCAAACGGAACUGCGUCAUAAAUUCUGAUAACACAAUUGAGGUAUUGAAGAAGCCUGUCAAAUUUACUGAAGAGAAGCUUGUAUGAGGUUUGGAGAUAAGGUUCUAUUCGGCACACUUCCGCCUGUGCAGAUUCUGGCACCAGAUGCGUGCGCGCCGAAGAUCAAACAUAUCGCCGAUAGAAAUGUUGUAAAUAAUGCUAAAGACUGGUAUCAGGGAGCAAUGACUCCAAUUAGAAUAACGUUAGAUGUUAAAUGUUUUGUUAAUGCUAAUAGUGUCCAUCCGUCUCAAUAGUAUUAGGAUAAUAAAGUGACUGUUCGGAAGGAUUAUAAUUUAGAAGUUAUUGCGGAGAAGGAAGACGUUGUGUUUAGAAUCGUAGUGACCCAAAUAACCCGCACUUACGUCUGCAACGUCAACUGGCCCGAGUUCGACUCCUGCGUCCAGGUCACCUUCGGGAU